UACGUAGGUGGCAAGCGUUGUCCGGAAUUAUUGGGCGUAAAGCGCGCGCAGGUGGUUUCUUAAGUCUGAUGUGAAAGCCCACGGCUCAACCGUGGAGGGUCAUUGGAAACUGGGGAACUUGAGUGCAGGAGAGAAGAGUGGAAUUCCCGGUGUAGCGGUGGAAUGCGUAGAGAUCGGGAAGAAUACCCGUGGCGAAGGCGGCCAGCUGGGCCAGGUCCGACACUGAGGCGCGAAAGCGUGGGAGCAACAGG
rnacentral:rRNA from 1 species